GGGUUGUUUAACUCACUGCCCAACUCUCGUGGUUGUGGCUUGUCGGAUGACAUUGAGAUACUUGCGAUCAGGCAACUGAUUGUAGGUGACUCGAUCUCGUUCUAGUACCCGAAGCAUCACAAGUCGAGACCCGACGGUUCCUAACUGUCGACUCGUAAUGUGACGCGCUACUCUUUAUCAGAGAGAGCUGCCAAAUGGCGUCCAACUUGACUUCUAUGGUGUCCGAGUGAACAUCAAGACGUGUAUCAUAACGUGUCUCGAUAAGAUCUAGGGCAUUCGUCUAACCGGCUCGUCGCUCUGUGCUGAAUAAUGAGGUUCGUUUGUCGAAGGAUCUUCGGAUUCUAAAACAAAACGUUGCGUGUCUUGCUAUUAUCAACCUGAACUCAGUCGUGAUUACCCGCUGAACUUAAGCAUAUCAUUUAGCGGAGGAAAAGAAACUAAAAAGGAUUCCCUUAGUAACGGCGAGUGAAACGGGAUGAGCCCAGCGCCGAAUCGAUCAGCCUAUGGUUGCUUCGAAAUGUGGCGUAUAGGUGUAGUCUUCCAGCAGUGUCGUGAGUCCGAAGUCCUUACGAUUGAGGCCAUAGACCAGAGAGGGUGCGAGUCCCGUCCUGGAUUGCGAUGCUGUUGGUUCGAUUGCUCCUUGGAGUCGGGUUGCUUGAAAGUGCAGCCUAAAGUGGGUGAUAAACUUCAUCUAAGGCUAAAUAUUGACUCGAUUGCGAUAGCGAACAAGUACCGUGAGGGAAAGUUGCAAAGGACUUUGAAGAGAGAGUUCAAGAGAACGUGAAAUCGCUGGAGUGGAACCGGAGACAGUUGAUGUUGCUUGGAGACAAGUUUGGUGGCUGGUCGCUUAGUUGUGAUCGUCGCCGGAUGUCGUUUCCUAUGCUACGCCGACGGCGUUGGUCGCUCGUUCUGGCCCGACAGUGUUGCCCAGCUCGCAAGAGUCGGUGUCUUGUUGUCGGUCGUUGGUUCGUGGUGGCUAGCGUUUAGUUACGCUAGUGUGUGUGACGUCGGUGUGAAAGUCGACGACGUUUCCGACCCGUCUUGAAACACGGAUUGCGGAGUGCUUGUCUACUGCGAGUCAAAGGGUGUUAAAACCUUGCGGCGAAAUGAAAGUGAAGGUCAGUCUUGAAUUGGCCGACGUGGGAUCGGUGCUCCUCGGAGUGCUGCGCACCACGGCCCUGUGCGUGUCACUUGUGACUGUGCAGAGGUUGAGCAGUUGGCAAACGACCCGAAAGAUGGUGAACUAUGCCUGAGCAGGAUGAAGCCAGAGGAAACUCUGGUGGAAGUCCGUAUCGGUUCUGACGUGCAAAUCGAUCGAUAGACUUGGGUAUAGGGGCGAAAGACUAAUCGAACCAUCUAGUAGCUGGUUCCUUCCGAAGUUUCCCUCAGGAUAGCUGGAUCUCCGGCAGUUAUAUUCGGUAAAGCUAAUGAUUAGAGGCCUUGGGGACGUAAUGUCCUCAACCUAUUCUCAAACUUUCAAUGGAUAUGAAGUUGCAGUUUCUUUAGUGAACUGUCAACGUGAAUGCGAGGUCCAAGUGGGCCAUUUUUGGUAAGCAGAACUGGCGCUGUGGGAUGAACCAAACGUGGAGUUAAGGUGCCUAACUUCUCGCUCAUGAGACCCCAUAAAAGGUGUUGGUUGAUAUUGACAGCAGGACGGUGGCCAUGGAAGUCGGUAUCCGCUAAGGAGUGUGUAACAACUCACCUGCCGAAUCAACUAGCCCUGAAAAUGGAUGGCGCUUAAGCGAGAGACCUAUACUCCGCCGUUGCGGCAUGUGCGUUGUCUAGCGCCAGGCCGUAACGAGUAGGAAGGUCGUGGCGGUUGCUUUGAAGGCUAUGAGCGUGGGCUCGGCUGGAGCUUCCGUCAGUGCAGAUCGUAAUGGUAGUAGCAAAUAUUCAAGUUCGAUCCUUGAAGACUGAAGUGGAGAAGGGUUCCACGUGAACAGUAGUUGGAUGUGGGUCAGUCGAUCCUAAGGUACUGGCGAACGCCUUGUAUCAUCGGUGGCGAAAAGCUUGCUUUUGGUCCCCGUUUGUCGAAAGGGAAUAGGGUUAAUAUUCCCUAACUGAGAUGCAAAGAUUGUGUUCUUCGGAGCACAAGCGCGGUAACGCAUUCGAACUUGGUUAGUCGCUCAAAGACCGAGCUAGAGUUUUCUUCUCUAGUUAAGGAACGGACUCCCUGGAAUUGGUUCAGCCAGAGAUGGGGACGUUGUUUCCGAAAAGCACCGCGGUUUCUGUGGUGUCUCGUGCUCUUUGAACGGCCCUUAAAACACCAAGGGAGGCUAUUAAUUUGCACUCAAUCGUACCGAUAUCCGCAUUAG
rnacentral:rRNA from 1 species